GAUGCAAAGUGCAUUCAGGCUGGUUUUGUCUUUUUUAUUAUACUCUUCUUCUUGUUGACAGAUAAUAUGUCGCACUUCUCCUUGAUCUUUUGCAUCGUGAAAAAUACAUGAAAGCUGUAAUUAUUGCCAUUGAUUGAUCCAAUGUAAUUUUGUUCAGGAUCUUUUCUCAGUUGUUGGUGACGUGAAAAAAAUUUCUGUACAUUAUGAUAAGAGUGGAAGAUCAGAGGGAAGCGCUGAGAUCAUCUAUUCAAAUUGGAAAGAUGCUGAGGCAGCUGUCAAGAGGUACAAUAAUAUACAACUAGAUGGAAAACCUAUGGAAGUUAAGAUUGUUGGAAUGGUUACUGCAACUUCUGCUGUUAUGUCUCCAUAUGGCUGUUAUGGACUAAGAAGAGAUGUGGGAAAAGGAAGUGAACUGGUUGGGCUAAGCCAAGGUGGUAAUAUGCACACUAGUGGAAGAGGACUUCGGAGAUGGAAUGGAGGGAAGGCAUAUAAAAAUUUAUCUGCUGAGGACCUAGAUGCUGAUUUGGACAACUAUCAUGCUGAAGUAAAGCAAAAACAUUGACCACCAUCAUCUACUGAUUCUCAGAGGCUUACUACAAGUUAAAAUGCACCCUUGAUUGUUACACUACAUGUUACUAAGAGAGUUUGUAUCAUCUGGAAGGUUUCAUCAUUCACCUUUAGUAAACAUGGUGUGGCAACACAAUUCUACUGUCUGAGAAGUUGGAGAUAGUUGUAUAUAUCUUUCUUUUUGCAAAGUAAUAGUUGUAUAUAUUACUUGGAGAUGGUUGUAUACUAUAUCUUGAUGGCAGAUGCCUGCAGUUUACAGACAGUGGUGUGGAUAGAUUUCAUGUAUGUUUUUCAUUUUCAAAUUGAAAUGUCCAGAGGACCGCCAAGUUUUCUGCACAAUCAGUUUAUAGGAUCAACUCAUAGUUCUCAGAGUUAGGUGCUUUGUAAUCAACUCCUAA